rnacentral:rRNA from 1 species
CCUACGGGAGGCAGCAGUAAGGAAUCUUCCACAAUGGACGAAAGUCUGAUGGAGCAACGCCGCGUGCAGGAUGAAGGCUUUCGGGUCGUAAACUGCUUUUAUAUGGGAAGAUUAUGACGGUACCAUAUGAAUAAGGACCGGCUAACUACGUGCCAGCAGCCGCGGUAAUACGUAGGGUCCAAGCGAUAUCCGGAAUUACUGGGCGUAAAGCGUGUGUAGGUGGAUUAAUAAGUGUGAUGCGAAAUCCGGCGGCUCAACCGUUUGGACUGUGUCGCAUACUGUUAGUCUAGAGGACGGCAGAGGUAAGUGGAAUUACGGGUGUAGCAGUGAAAUGCGUAGAUAUCCGUAGGAACACCAAUGGCGAAGGCAGCUUACUGGGCCACACCUGACACUGAGACACGAAAGCGUGGGGAGCGAACAGGAUUAGAUACCCUGGUAGUCCACGCCGUAAACGAUGCAUACUAUUAGUAUGGGGUAUCGACCCCCUGUGCUGAGAAGCUAACGCGAUAAGUAUGCCGCCGUCGGGAGGUACGAGCGCGACGACGUUAAACUAACAAAUAGUAAGUUAGACGGCGUGAGACGUGCCGACGGACGACGACGAGGGAGGAGG